rnacentral:rRNA from 1 species
UACGUAGGGUGCUAGCGUUGUCCGGAUUUAUUGGGCGUAAAGGGUGCGUAGGCGGGUCUUUAAGUCAGGGGUGAAAUCCUGGAGCUCAACUCCAGAACUGCCUUUGAUACUGGCGAUCUUGAGUUCGAGAGAGGUGAGUGGAACUGCGAGUGUAGAGGUGAAAUUCGUAGAUAUUCGCAAGAACACCAGUGGCGAAGGCGGCUCACUGGCUCGAUACUGACGCUGAGGUGCGAAAGCGUGGGGAGCAAACAGG